rnacentral:rRNA from 1 species
AGAAUCAACGCUGGCGGCGUGCCUCAGACAUGCAAGUCGAACGCGAAAGUCCCCCUUCGGGGGACAAGUAGAGUGGCGCACGGGUGAGUAACACGUAGGUAAUCUACCUUUGGAUGGGGAAUAAUAACCGGAAACGGUUGCUAAUACCGCAUGAUGCAGCGGCACCUAAUGGUGACAGUUGUUAAAGCGGGGGAUCGAAAGACCUCGCGUCUGAAGAGGAGCCUGCGGCGGAUUAGCUAGUUGGUAAGGUAAUGGCUUACCAAGGCUACGAUCC